rnacentral:rRNA from 1 species
AUAACGGUCCUAAGGUAGCGAAAUUCCUUGUCAGGUAAGUUCUGACCCGCACGAAAGGCGUAACGAUUUGGGCGCUGUCUCAGCUGUAGACUCGGUGAAGUCUUAGUACCUGUGAAGAUGCAGGUUACCCGCGACUAGACGGAAAGACCCCAUGGAGCUUCACUGCAGGUUGAUAUUGGGAUUUGAUGCAGCAUGUACAGGAUAGGUAGGAGGCAAAGAGAUGGAUACGCCAGUAUUCAAGGAGCCGCUGUUGGGAUACUACCCCUGUUGUAUUGGAUUUCUAACCGGACGACGUAGAGCCGUUGACGGGACAGUGUCAGUCGGGCAGUUUGACUGGGGCGGUCGCCUCCCAAAGAGUAACGGAGGCGCCCAAAGAUACCCUCAGCUUGGAUGGAAACCAAGCGCAGAGUGCAAAGGCAAAAGGGUGUUUGACUGCGAGACCCACAAGUCGAGCAGGGACGAAAGUCGGGCUUAGUGAUCCGGCGGUGCUGAAUGGAAAGGCCGUCGCUCAACGGAUAAAAGCUACCCUGGGGAUAACAGGCUGAUCUCCCCCAAGAGUCCACAUCGACGGGGAGGUUUGGCACCUCGAUGUCGGCUCAUCGCAUCCUGGGGCUGUAUUCGGUCCCAAGGGUUUGGCUGUUCGCCAAUUAAAGCGGUACGCGAGCUGGGUUCAGAACGUCGUGAGACAGUUCGGUCCCUAUCUGUCGUGGGCGCAGGAAAUUUGAGAAGAGCUGUCCUCAGUACGAGAGGACCGGGAUGGACGCAUCAAUGGUGGACCAGUUGUCACGCCAGUGGCAUAGCUGGGUAGCUAAAUGCGGAAGGGAUAAACGCUGAAGGCAUCUAAGUGUGAAACCCACUUCAAGAUGAGAUUUCCCAUUGCGCAAGCAAGUAAGACCCCUUAAAGACGAUAAGGUAGAUAGGUCAGGAGUGUAAGCAUGGUGACAUGUUAAGCGGACUGAUACUAAUAGGUCGAGGGCUUGACCGA